CACAACACUUAUUGUUGAAAUGUCCUUUCGACAUGUGACCCCUGACUAACCCAAAUUAAUUUAUGGUUUUCGUUAAUGAGAAAAUGAUCACUUACGUAUUAUCAAACACACAUGCAAUAUUGAAUAAAUCACAAAAUUCAUUUUAAAUAUGGUGCGA